AACGUAGGAGACAAGCGUUAUCCGGAUUUAUUGGGCGUAAAGGGCAUGUAGGCGGUGCCUUAAGUUGGAUGUGAAAUCUCCCGGCUUAACUGGGAGGGGUCAUCCAAUACUGGGGCUCUUGAGGGCAGGAGAGGGAAGUGGAAUUCCCGGUGUAGCGGUGGAAUGCGUAGAUAUCGGGAGGAACACCAGUGGCGAAAGCGGCUUCCUGGCCUGCAUCUGACGCUGAUAUGCGAAAGCUAGGGGAGCAAACGGGAUUAGAUACC
rnacentral:rRNA from 1 species